GUCGGAAUAGCUCAGUUGGUAGAGCAGAGGACUGAAAAUCCUCGUGUCACCAGUUCA
rnacentral:tRNA from 1 species